rnacentral:rRNA from 1 species
CCUACGGGAGGCAGCAGUGGGGAAUAUUGCACAAUGGGGGAAACCCUGAUGCAGCGACGCCGCGUGCGUGAUGAAGUAAUUCGUUAUGUAAAGCUCUAUCAACAGGGGAGAAAAUGACGGUACCUGAAGAAGAAGCCCCGGCUAACUACGUGCCAGCAGCCGCGGUAAUACGUAGGGGGCAAGCGUUAUCCGGAUUUACUGGGUGUAAAGGGGGCGUAGACGGGAGUGCAAGUGUGGAGUGAAAGGCGGGGGCUCAACCCCCGGACUGCGCUGGAAACUGUAAGGCUGGAGUGCAGGAGAGGUAAGUGGAAUUCCUGGUGUAGCGGUGAAAUGCGUAGAUAUUAGGAGGAACACCAGUGGCGAAGGCGACUUACUGGACUGUAACUGACGCUGAGGCUCGAAAGCGUGGGGAGCAAACAGGAUUAGAUACCCCAGUAGUC